rnacentral:SRP_RNA from 1 species
GACCAGGUUCCGUGCUAUAGGCAGCCGCCCAACCCCGUCAGGACCGGAAGGUAGCAGCGGUAAGCGGCCCGUCUAUGAGACGCGGUCUACUUGGUCCGA